AAGAUUGAGAUAAUUUAUAUAUUUGCUUCAUGAAAUACUGUAAAUUCCAAACAUAUGUUUGAGUUUAUACAAUCCAUAUAUAUACUUCAUAUGAAGAUUUGCCAUUUGAUAUCAUGAGCUUCUGCAACUACGGAUGAAGAGAAAGAGGUAUAUAGAGAUUGAAUGAAAAUAAGGUCUUUGGGCAAGGGAGGUGCAGAUCCUCAAGGUUCUAUUAUAUCUGUCUUGUAAUCUCUAGUGACAUUUAUUAACAUUAACCUAUAAAACAUACAAGUUUGGUUCCACAUGGGGUAACUGCCCUAUGACUUAACAGGAAUAAAGGAUGAUCUAACAGUAAGGUUGUCUUUGUCUUGACGAUAGUCACAACUUCUUAUGUGAUGGUGUUGUUGGUUGUAACUACAAAAAUAGGGGGCAUUCCUCAAACUCUACAUUAUCGGUAGUCUUGUGCACCGGUCUGCCCUUGUAGGAGAGAUGGUUGAAUUAGACAGUUUCCAUCAGGUCAGUUAGAAUUGUUUGCUUAUUUGAAGAAUGUCAAUCUUUGUAAUCUUCCCCAUCUGCUUAAGCUUGUAUAUGAGAAAUUCAGACUUGCUGCAAAAAAGUAAAGGGUUAAAUAAUUUUUUCGUCCCUAUCCUUUGCAUAAUACUUGGUUUUCGUCCGGAGCAAAUAUGGGUUUUAGUCCCUAACAUUUGCCAAAAUGUUUGGUUUUCGUCCCUCCGGAGCUCUUAGUCAACGCCGGAGCCGGUGGCCCAUGUGGCAUUGCCACGCCACAUGGGAUUAAUGAAGCCACAUGUUAUCUUUUUUUAAAAAAAAAAAAAAAUAGGAAAUUAACUCAGUAAUUAAAAACCCAUUUAACCUAAAUUAAAUCCUUCACCUAACAAUUCAAAAAAAAUCCUUCACCUAAACCAUCAAACUUAAAUCCCAAAUUUAAUCUUCAUCCAUCAUAUCAUUUAAAUCUUUCACUUAAUUAUUAAUUACAUAUCUCUUCAUCAAAACCCAGAUUUUGUUCUUUAUUGUGACACCCCAGAAAUAAAUUAUUUUUACCAAGAGAACAUCAGCAUACGAAGCCCAGAUCAAGUAUUUUGAAAAGGAAGAAUAGCAAUAUCAAUAUCUAAAUCAAAGCCAAAAAUUAACAUCAUGAAGAGGCAACCUGUAACCCAGAAAACAACAAAUAGAUAACCAUGGAGAUGAAGAUGAUCCCAACCCCAACCUCACCCAGAUCAGCUGCCCCCAACACUUA
rnacentral:lncRNA from 1 species